UUUUGGACAAUGGACGAAAGUCUGAUCCAGCCAUUCCGCGUGCAGGACGAAGGCCUUCGGGUUGUAAACUGCUUUUGUACAGAACGAAAAGGUUUCUAUUAAUACUAGGAGCCCAUGACGGUACUGUAAGAAUAAGCACCGGCUAACUACGUGCCAGCAGCCGCGGUAAUACGUAGGGUGCAAGCGUUAAUCGGAAUUACUGGGCGUAAAGCGUGCGCAGGCGGUUAUGUAAGACAGAUGUGAAACCCCCGGGCUCAACCUGGGAACUGCAUUUGUGACUGCAUAGCUGGAGUGCGGCAGAGGGGGAUGGAAUUCCGCGUGUAGCAGUGAAAUGCGUAGAUAUGCGGAGGAACACCGAUGGCGAAGGCAAUCCCCUGGGCCUGCACUGACGCUCAUGCACGAA
rnacentral:rRNA from 1 species